rnacentral:rRNA from 1 species
UCCAGACUCCUACGGGAGGCAGCAGUGGGGGAUAUUGCACAAUGGGGGAAACCCUGAUGCAGCGACGCCGCGUGAGUGAAGAAGUAUUUCGGUAUGUAAAGCUCUAUCAGCAGGGAAGAAAAAAGACGGUACCUGACUAAGAAGCCCCGGCUAACUACGUGCCAGCAGCCGCGGUAAUACGUAGGGGGCAAGCGUUAUCCGGAUUUACUGGGUGUAAAGGGAGCGUAGACGGCAAUACAAGUCGGAAGUGAAAUACCCGGGCUUAACCUGGGAACUGCUUUGGAAACUGUAUGGCUGGAGUGCUGGAGAGGUAAGCGGAAUUCCUAGUGUAGCGGUGAAAUGCGUAGAUAUUAGGAGGAACACCAGUGGCGAAGGCGGCUUACUGGACAGUAACUGACGUUGAGGCUCGAAAGCGUGGGGAGCAAACAGGAUUAGAUACCCGUGUA